CUUCGGACCUUGCGCUAAUAGAUGAGCCUAAGUCGGAUUAGCUAGUUGGUGGGGUAAAGGCCUACCAAGGCGACGAUCUGUAGCGGGUCUGAGAGGAUGAUCCGCCACACUGGGACUGAGACACGGCCCAGACUCCUACGGGAGGCAGCAGUGGGGAAUAUUGGACAAUGGGCGCAAGCCUGAUCCAGCCAUGCCGCGUGUGUGAAGAAGGCCUUAUGGUUGUAAAGCACUUUAAGCGAGGAGGAGGCUACUUUAGUUAAUACCUAGAGAUAGUGGACGUUACUCGCAGAAUAAGCACCGGCUAACUCUGUGCCAGCAGCCGCGGUAAUACAGAGGGUGCAAGCGUUAAUCGGAUUUACUGGGCGUAAAGCGCGCGUAGGCGGCUAAUUAAGUCAAAUGUGAAAUCCCCGAGCUUAACUUGGGAAUUGCAUUCGAUACUGGUUAGCUAGAGUGUGGGAGAGGAUGGUAGAAUUCCAGGUGUAGCGGUGAAAUGCGUAGAGAUCUGGAGGAAUACCGAUGGCGAAGGCAGCCAUCUGGCCUAACACUGACGCUGAGGUGCGAAAGCAUGGGGAGCAAACAGGAUUAGAUACCCUGGUAGUCCAUGCCGUAAACGAUGUCUACUAGCCGUUGGGGCCUUUGAGGGCUUUAGUGGCGCAGCUAACGCGAUAAGUAGACCGCCUGGGGAGUACGGUCGCAAGACUAAAACUCAAAUGAAUUGA
rnacentral:rRNA from 1 species